UGGCUCAGAUUGAACGCUGGCGGCAGGCCUAACACAUGCAAGUCGAGCGGUAGCACAGAGAGCUUGCUCUCGGGUGACGAGCGGCGGACGGGUGAGUAAUGUCUGGGAAACUGCCUGAUGGAGGGGGAUAACUACUGGAAACGGUAGCUAAUACCGCAUAAUGUCGCAAGACCAAAGUGGGGGACCUUCGGGCCUCAUGCCAUCAGAUGUGCCCAGAUGGGAUUAGCUAGUAGGUGGGGUAACGGCUCACCUAGGCGACGAUCCCUAGCUGGUCUGAGAGGAUGACCAGCCACACUGGAACUGAGACACGGUCCAGACUCCUACGGGAGGCAGCAGUGGGGAAUAUUGCACAAUGGGCGCAAGCCUGAUGCAGCCAUGCCGCGUGUGUGAAGAAGGCCUUCGGGUUGUAAAGCACUUUCAGCGGGGAGGAAGGCGAUAAGGUUAAUAACCUCGUCGAUUGACGUUACCCGCAGAAGAAGCACCGGCUAACUCCGUGCCAGCAGCCGCGGUAAUACGGAGGGUGCAAGCGUUAAUCGGAAUUACUGGGCGUAAAGCGCACGCAGGCGGUCUGUCAAGUCGGAUGUGAAAUCCCCGGGCUCAACCUGGGAACUGCAUUCGAAACUGGCAGGCUAGAGUCUUGUAGAGGGGGGUAGAAUUCCAGGUGUAGCGGUGAAAUGCGUAGAGAUCUGGAGGAAUACCGGUGGCGAAGGCGGCCCCCUGGACAAAGACUGACGCUCAGGUGCGAAAGCGUGGGGAGCAAACAGGAUUAGAUACCCUGGUAGUCCACGCCGUAAACGAUGUCGAUUUGGAGGUUGUGCCCUUGAGGCGUGGCUUCCGGAGCUAACGCGUUAAAUCGACCGCCUGGGGAGUACGGCCGCAAGGUUAAAACUCAAAUGAAUUGACGGGGGCCCGCACAAGCGGUGGAGCAUGUGGUUUAAUUCGAUGCAACGCGAAGAACCUUACCUGGUCUUGACAUCCACAGAACUU
rnacentral:rRNA from 1 species